rnacentral:misc_RNA from 1 species
GUGUUGAAGAAUGGGGCAAAACACUAUUCUGCCUACUAGAUGGAGGGGGAGGGGGAGGGGCAGGGGUAUUCACUGCCUUUGGUGAGUUAACUAUGAAUGGUGGUGCUAAAGACGCGGAAAGUGGUAGAGCAGAGGACCUUGUAGCUAUAUGAUGAAAUGAAGUGGGUGGUGGAGGAGGUGGAGGAGGUGGAGGAGGUAUUUCAUUUGCCUGGCGGGGUGAUGGUAAAUAUGGAGAUGGAGGCUUUGUGGGCAAGGGGGGAAGUGGUACUCCAAGUUGUGCAUCACUAUGUGAUGG